AUUGAACGCUGGCGGCAGGCCUAACACAUGCAAGUCGAACGAGUGGCGGACGGGUGAGUAAUGUCUGGGAAACUGCCUGAUGGAGGGGGAUAACUACUGGAAACGGUAGCUAAUACCGCAUACCAUCGGAUGUGCCCAGAUGGGAUUAGAGAGUCGGUGGGGUAAAGGCUCACCUAGGCGACGAUCCCUAGCUGGUCGGAGAGGAUGACCUGCCACGUUGGAACGGAGACACGCUCCAGACUCCUACGGGAGGCAGCAGUGGGGAAUAUGGCACAAGUUGCGCAAGCCUGAUACAGCCAUGCCGCGUGGAUGAAGAAGGCCUUCGGGUGGUAAAGUACUUUCAGCGGGGAGGCGUUACCCGCAGAAGAAGCACCGGCUAACUCCGUGCCAGCCGCCGCGUUAAUUC
rnacentral:rRNA from 1 species